CUGAACACAUUUAGGUUUUGCUGGAGAAAGGAUUAUUGUCUUAAGGAUCCCCCCUUCUCUCCCAUUGCUGUCUUCCAUCCAGUGUGUUUCUCCACUCCCUCCACGACUGCCUCUCUCCAAGCAUACAGCAUUUCCUCCGUGAACGAACUUACCCUCAGCCUUCCUCAGAGGCCUUCACUGUUGAACCAGUCCUCAGGGUGCCCAUCGUCUUUCCUCUGAUAAUUUGCUUCAAAAAUUGUGAAAGCCAUGGCCAGCAAGGAGAAUUAUAUGAUGGUAUUCUUCCAGGAACAAUAAAUUCUGGCAGUCAGUUUAGCAGGAAGCAAAGUUCUUAUUCCCAUCUCAUGAUCUAAGUAUCAAGAAGAGUACCAAGAAAUUCUCUUCAUAAUAUGUAUAAUUUCCAAAAACUUAAAGCCUGAUUCUCCUACAAAUACAAAGUGAGCAUAUGUCCAAGAUCUACUUAAUUCAUUAAUGAGGGAACAAGCAACUUUGUAAGUCAGCUCCAAAGUGAAUUGGAGAGAGCACAGGAAUUUUUUAUGGCAGAAAGAUGCUUCAAUUAGAUUGCUAAUUUAGACACCAAACUAGUUAAUGUCCUACAGGACAUUUAAACUGUAAUUUUGCUGAUAUCACUUGAAUCUCUACCAAAUAAAAUUCAUUUGCAAGGCUAUGGGACAGGAAUCUUUUCAUUUCUAUAGGAAAAAUAGUUACUUGCAUCACUAUUAGUUUCCUACAAAUUAACACCUUUCCAUCAGAGCUGUGAAAUAUACUAAGGAAUAGUAAACGGGAAAUCAAAUGAAGGGACAGGCAUCUAGAGGCAUGAAGUGCCACUGCACGACCCUGAGAGAAUAAAAAGUGAUCCUUUUGAUCUAUUUCAAUGUUUUAGGUAUAUUACAGAUCUCUUUUUAAAUGAUACUGGUGUAUUUGUAACAGGUUUGAAUCUGUAGCAUAGCUCCUGAGGUAGAAAAAUGCCACUAUCCUUUAUUUUCUUAAUCAAAAUUAAUUCUAGAAUAGCCUCUGCCUGCCAAGUAGUUGGGAAAUUCAAUCUGUAUCAUUUUUUUAAAAUUUUUUUUGAGGAGGAUUAGCCCUGAGCUAACAUCUGCUGCCAAUCCUCCUCUUUUUGCUGAGGAAGACCGGCCCUGAGCUAACAUCCGUGCCCGUCUUCCUCUACUUUAUACGUAGGAUGCCUACCACAGCAUGGCUUGCCAAGUGCUGCGCAGGUCUAUACCUGGGAUCUGAACUGGCGAACCCUGGGCCGCUGAAUGAGAACAAGUGAACUUAACUUCUGCGCCACUGGGCUGGCCCCUCAAUCUGUAUCAUUUUUACCAUCAUUUAUCCUUGUCAUCAGUUUGUCAUAGUAACUCUCCUUUUGCUCCUUGUGCAUGGUCCUUGUGCAUGUGAUCUUCGGGAUGCUGAGGAAUGAUAGUUGACUCUCCUCUCAAUCACAACCACCUUCCUGUUACCUCCUAACUGGAUCUGGCUUUCCCUGAAGUCUGCCAUGGGGAGGAGAUGACGUGUUAGAGGAUGCGCGGUGCUUGGUCUGUCUCAGUGUCUGCAUCAGUACCUCUCUGCCUCUGAUGCCUUGAUUUGCCCUUUGCUCAGACUUAAUGCUCUCACAGGCCACAGAGUGACUGCAGGCGAGGGAAGCAGUAGGGACCCUGCAAAACUUCCUCCCUCAUACCAUGCUCCCCAUUGUACCCCAUCCUCUUGCUGCUAUGUGGGUGCUGUUGUGAUUGCAGUUUGUAUAUUAAAGUAUUGUCAUAUUAAAUAUAUUUUGUUGGUCUAACAAUAAAAAACACUUCAUCCAAAAAAACAAAAUGAGCCACAUGGUCCAGUCAAAGACCCUCUCUUCAAUCUCUCCAUACCACAGGCACAGUUUCUUUGCCAAGAUUGCUGGCGUCUAACAUCUAAAGUCUAGCAUCCCUAAGCUCAUAUUUAGUACUCACCAUAAGAAAGGUGCCAGAUUUGACUAGGGCUUCAAUUCCCAUGACUGGGGCAACUGGCAGUAGUGUUUGUUCUCGCAGCCUUUGGAGAACACCUUCCCCACUGGGCCAUUCGUGAUAAGGCCACCGUCACUGACUCACUUCCCUCCUGCUUAUCUGGGGCAGUUCCAGCUCCAUUUCCUGAUAGGACAAAACAAAAACAAAAACACCUUUUAAAUGAAGACUUUUGAGGAGGUUUUCUCUAUAACACACUCGUUAAUCACAGGGUAUAUGUGUGUUUGUGUGUGUAUUUAGGGGAUGUGGGAAGGGUUGGCAAUGGCAUCAAAGGCAGGUAUACUGUGAAGUGAAAGAAGUUUAAGCUUCAGCACUCCACUUUUACAAAGUCUCCUUCCAAAGCCCUGAAAAGACCUUAGCAAUUUGUUCACCUGGAAGUCACAUUCCAGUAAAAUUUACAAAAGAUCAAAGAAUUUACCACAAUUGGUUUAAUGACCAUCUCUUUCCUUUCUGAUAGCUAGGUAGAUUCCCCUCAAGCAUGAGGUGUGUAGAAUAGAGGGUGUUGGUAGAAAGCAUGAGAGUAAGGGAGGCUAUUUCGGAGAUCUGGUUAAAGGGAGUUAAGUUUGGCAGAGUCGAGUCUGUUUUGGUGGUUUGCAGCAUAUCUCUGUACAGCUACAUUAUUGCUAGCGUGGUUUCACAGGCUCGUCAGUAACAGGAGUGAGAAGCUGAAACUUUUCUCAAUUCUCAAUAGUAAAAGAAUCCAAUUUAGACCAAACUUCUAGAGAAGUGACUGAAUUACUUUUAUUUCCUCUGUACAUAACAAUAUCAUAAAAUCCUUUUUAUAUGAAAAAGAUGAUCAAAGAGUAAACAACAGAAAGAUAAAGGGGUGAAAAGUAAUAUAGAGAUGGUUUGGGUAAUAAAAAAUGCCUUUUUUCUGGGUUUUGUGAUGUUUUGCUGUUCUUUAAAAUCUGUAAUUUGUUGUAAUUUCUUUUCUUAUUCUAAAUAAAUCUUCACUUUCAAACUUCA
rnacentral:lncRNA from 1 species